AACGUAGGACGCAAGCGUUAUCCGGAGUUACUGGGCGUAAAGCGCGGGCAGGCGGCCUUGCCAGUCUGAUGUGAAAUCUCUCAGCUCAACUGGGAGCAGCCAUUGGAAACUACAAGACUGGAGUCUGGCAGAGGUAGGCGGAAUUCCGGGUGGAGUGGUGAAAUGCGUAGAGAUCCGGAGGAACACCAGAGGCGAAGGCGGCCUACUGGGCCAGUACUGACGCUGAGCCGCGAAAGCCAGGGGAGCGAACGGG
rnacentral:rRNA from 1 species